UACGUAGGGUGCGAGCGUUGUCCGGAAUUAUUGGGCGUAAAGAGCUCGUAGGCGGUGUGUCACGUCGGCCGUGAAAACCUGCAGCUUAACUGUGGGCGUGCGGUCGAUACGGGCAUCACUGGAGUUCGGCAGGGGAGACUGGAAUUCCUGGUGUAGCGGUGAAAUGCGCAGAUAUCAGGAGGAACACCGGUGGCGAAGGCGGGUCUCUGGGCAAUAACUGACGCUGGAGGAGCGAAAGCAUGGGGAGCGAACAGG
rnacentral:rRNA from 1 species